CUCCGGAGAGGGAGCCUGAGAACGGCUACCACAUCCAAGGAAGGCAGCAGGCGCGCAAAUUACCCAAUCCCGAUACGGGGAGGUAGUGACAAGAAAUACCGAUUCAGGAUCUUAUUGGAUCUUGAGAUUGGAAUGAGUACAAUUCAAACCCAUUAACGAGGAACAACUAGAGGGCAAGUCUGGUGCCAGCAGCCGCGGUAAUUCCAGCUCUAGUAGCGUAUAUUAAAAUUGUUGCAGUUAAAACGCUCGUAGUUGAACUUUGGGCUUGGCUGGCUGGUCCGCCUCACCGCGUGCACUGGUCCGGCUGGGCCUUUCCUCUUGGGGAUCCACAUGCCCUUCACUUGGGUGUGUUGGGGAACCAGGACUUUUACUUUGAAAAAAUUAGGGUGUUCAAAGCAGGCAUUUGCUCGAAUACAUUAGCAUGGGAUAAUAGAAUAGGACGUGUGGUCUUAUUUUGUUGGUUUCUAGGACCGCCGUAAUGAUUGAUAGGGAUAGUUGGGGGCAUCGGUAUUCAAUU
rnacentral:rRNA from 1 species